CACGUAGUUAGCCGGGGCUUCUUGGUCAGGUACCGUCAUUUUCUUCCCUGCUGAUAGAGCUUUACAUACCGAAAUACUUCUUCACUCACGCGGCGUCGCUGCAUCAGGGUUUCCCCCAUUGUGCAAUAUUCCCCACUGCUGCCUCCCGUAGGAGUUUGGGUCGUGUCUCAGUCCCAAUGUGGCCGUUCACCCUCUCAGGCCGGCUACUGAUCGUCGCUUUGGUAGGCCGUUACCCUGCCAACUGGCUAAUCAGACGCGGGUCCAUCUCACACCGAUAAAUCUUUUCCAACCAGAGCAUGCGCCCCUGUUGGCUUAUGCGGUAUUAGCGGUCGUUUCCAACUGUUAUCCCCCUGUGUGAGGCAGGUUACCCACGCGUUACUCACCCGUCCGCCACUCAGUCACAAAAGACUUCAUCCGAAGAAUCGUUCUUAAGUGCUUCGUUCGACUUUGCAUGUGUAAGCACGCCGCCAGCGUUCAUCCUGAGCCGAGUCAAACUCU
rnacentral:rRNA from 1 species